rnacentral:rRNA from 1 species
AACCAACAGGGAUUGCCCUAGUAACGGCGAGUGAAGCGGCAAGAGCUCAAAUUUGAAAUCUGGCCCUCUCAGGGUCCGAGUUGUAAUUUGUAGAGGGCGCUUUGGCGUUGGCCCCGGCCUAAGUUCCUUGGAACAGGACGUCACAGAGGGUGAGAACCCCGUACGUGGCCGCCGGCCUCCGCCGUGUAAAGCCCCUUCGACGAGUCGAGUUGUUUGGGAAUGCAGCUCUAAAUGGGAGGUAAAUUUCUUCUAAAGCUAAAUACUGGCCAGAGACCGAUAGCGCACAAGUAGAGUGAUCGAAAGAUGAAAAGCACUUUGGAAAGAGAGUCAAAAAGCACGUGAAAUUGUUGAAAGGGAAGCGCUUGCAGCCAGACUUGCCUGUAGUUGCUCAUCCGAGCUCCCGCUCGGUGCACUCUUCUGCGGGCAGGCCAGCAUCAGUCCGGGCGGUCGGAUAAAGGCCUCGGGAAUGUAGCUCCCCUCGGGGAGUGUUAUAGCCCGGGGUGCCAUGCGACCAGCCUGGACUGAGGUCCGCGCAUCUGCUAGGAUGCUGGCGUAAUGGCUGUAAGCGGC